UACGAGUGCCCCGAGCGUUAUCCGGAAUUAUUGGGCGUAAAGCGCACGUAGGCGGCAUUGCAAGUCGGAUGUGAAAUCCCUCGGCUUAACCAAGGAAGUGCAUCCGAAACUGCAGUGCUUGAGUACGAAAGAGGAUCGCGGAAUUCCCGGUGUAGAGGUGAAAUUCGUAGAUAUCGGGAGGAACACCAGUGGCGAAGGCGGCGAUCUGGGUCGAUACUGACGCUGAGGUGCGAAAGCGUGGGGAGCAAACAGG
rnacentral:rRNA from 1 species